UACACCUACGGGACGCAGCAGUGAGGAAUAUUGGUCAAUGGGCGGGAGCCUGAACCAGCCAAGUCGCGUGAGGGACGACGGUCCUAUGGAUUGUAAACCUCUUUUGUCGGGGAACAAAGGCGCCCACGGGUGGGCGGAUGAGUGUACCCGAAGAAAAAGCAUCGGCUAACUCCGUGCCAGCAGCCGCGGUAAUACGGAGGAUGCGAGCGUUAUCCGGAUUUAUUGGGUUUAAAAGGUGCGUAGGCGGACGGUCACGUCAGCGGUAAAAAUGCGGUGCUCAACGCCGUACAGCCGUUG
rnacentral:rRNA from 1 species